UUGUCCGGAAUUACUGGGUGUAAAGGGAGCGUAGGCGGGACGGUAAGUCAGGUGUGAAAUAUACGUGCUCAACAUGUAGACUGCACUUGAAACUGCUGUUCUUGAGUGAAGUAGAGGUAAGCGGAAUUCCUAGUGUAGCGGUGAAAUGCGUAGAUAUUAGGAGGAACAUCGGUGGCGAAGGCGGCUUACUGGGCUUUUACUGACGCUGAGGCUCGAAAGCGUGGGGAGCAAACAGGAUUAGAUACCCUGGUAGUCCACGCUGUAAACGAUGAUUACUAGGUGUGGGGGGACUGACCCCUUCCGUGCCGCAGUUAACACAAUAAGUAAUCCACCUGGGGAGUACGACCGCAAGGUUGAAACUCAA
rnacentral:rRNA from 1 species